rnacentral:rRNA from 1 species
GAUGAACGCUGGCGGCGUGCCUAAUACAUGCAAGUAGAACGCUGAAGGAGGAGCUUGCUCUUCUGGAUGAGUUGCGAACGGGUGAGUAACGCGUAGGUAACCUGCCUGGUAGCGGGGGAUAACUAUUGGAAACGAUAGCUAAUACCGCAUGACAACAGUUAUUGCAUGAUAACUGUUUAAAAGGGGCAACUGCUCCACUACCAGAUGGACCUGCGUUGUAUUAGCUAGUUGGUGAGGUAACGGCUCACCAAGGCGACGAUACAUAGCCGACCUGAGAGGGUGAUCGGCCACACUGGGACUGAGACACGGCCCAGACUCCUACGGGAGGCAGCAGUAGGGAAUCUUCGGCAAUGGACGGAAGUCUGACCGAGCAACGCCGCGUGAGGGAAGAAGGUUUUCGGAUCGGAAAGCUCUGUUGUAAGAGAAGAACGAGUGUGAGAGUGGAAAGUUCACACUGUGACGGUAUCUUACCAGAAAGGGACGGCUAACUACGUG